GCCUGGGUGGCUCAGCGGUUGAGCAUCUGACUUCUGCUCAGGUCAUGAUCCCGGGGUCCUGGGAUCAAGUCCUGCAUCGGGCU
rnacentral:tRNA from 1 species